CCUACGGGGGGCAGCAGUGAGGAAUAUUGGUCAAUGGACGAGAGUCUGAACCAGCCAAGUAGCGUGAAGGAUGACUGCCCUAUGGGUUGUAAACUUCUUUUAUAUGGGAAUAAAAUGUUCCACGUGUGGGAUUUUGUAUGUACCAUAUGAAUAAGGAUCGGCUAACUCCGUGCCAGCAGCCGCGGUAAUACGGAGGAUCCGAGCGUUAUCCGGAUUUAUUGGGUUUAAAGGGAGCGUAGGUGGCUUGUUAAGUCAGUUGUGAAAGUUUGCGGCUCAACCGUAAAAUUGCAGUUGAAACUGGCAGUCUUGAGUUCAGUAGAGGUGGGCGGAAUUCGUGGUGUAGCGGUGAAAUGCUUAGAUAUCACGAAGAACUCCGAUUGCGAAGGCAGUUCACUGGACUGCAACUGACACUGAGGCUCGAAAGUGUGGGUAUCAAACAGGAUUAGAUACCCGGGUAGUC
rnacentral:rRNA from 1 species